rnacentral:rRNA from 1 species
UACGUAGGGCGCAAGCGUUAUCCGGAAUUAUUGGGCGUAAAGAGCUCGUAGGCGGUUUGUCGCGUCUGCCGUGAAAGUCCGGGGCUCAACUCCGGAUCUGCGGUGGGUACGGGCAGACUAGAGUGAUGUAGGGGAGACUGGAAUUCCCGGUGUAGCGGUGAAAUGCGCAGAUAUCGGGAAGAACACCCGUGGCGAAGGCGGCUCUCUGGAACGCAACUGACGCUGAGACGCGAAAGCGUGGGGAGCAAACAGG